rnacentral:rRNA from 1 species
GCGCAGCAGUCGCGAAACCUCCGCAAUGCGGGAAACCGUGACGGGGUCACCCCGAGUGCCACCCGAUGAGGGUGGCUUUUCCCCGGUCUAAAAAGCCGGGGGCAAUAAGCGGGGGGCAAGUCUGGUGUCAGCCGCCGCGGUAAUACCAGCCCCGCGAGUGGUCGGGACGUUUAUUGGGCCUAAAGCGUCCGUAGCCGGCUCGGUAAGUCCCUCCUUAAAUCCACGGGCUCAACCCGUGGGCUGGGAGGGAUACUGCCGGGCUAGGGGGCGGGAGAGGCCGAGGGUACUCCCGGGGUAGGGGCGAAAUCCGUUAAUCCCGGGAGGACCACCAGUGGCGAAGGCGCUCGGCUGGAACGCGCCCGACGGUGAGGGACGAAAGCUGGGGGAGCGAAGGGGAUUAGAUACCCCUGUAGU